GUAUUAAUGAUCAUUAGAAAUCAAGUAAUAAAGAAGAUACAAAAUAAAGACCACAAGCCCAUGGCCGAUCAGCCAGUUCAAACACCCACCUUACCACCACCAAGCUUGGGACAGGAAGUAAAGAGGUGGGACCUUCCACAUCCCUGCCUAAUAUAAUAUAUCUACAGGAAGUACAUAAUAACAGGAAGUCCGUGGGCUCCUGGAAAAUGUAGUUCGUUUUUUAGGGUAACAGAUUUUCAAUUAUACACAGAAAUCCUAACAUCAAGGAUUUCUGUUUAAACAUUGCUGGUUCCUGUCAAGAAACCUAAUUUCUUCAAAGACUUUAAUUCCAUGAAUCAUUGAGAUACUGGACUCAAAUUUGUGAGCAGUGUUCUCCCCUGUUCUACCUCUCCCCUUGCUAUGAGAAAACCUUGUACUUCAGAAUUAGAUUAUUUUUAAAAGAUUUAUGGCAACCUACAAUCCCUCUAACCUCUAUCCCUUUGCCCCAAUCAACAAUUAAAUCAAAUAAGCAGUAAGAUAGGGAAUUCAAUCUCAUUUAUUUACAACUAGAGAGUAAACCCAUUGGCAGAAUCUAUCUUGUUGCCAGUUUUCAAAAAGACAUGAGGGGGAGGCCUGUGAGUGUCCCAAAGCAGUGCAUAACCAGAUUGAGGUCCCUCAUACCUCUAGUUGUAGAGAAGACUACCUCUCUGCCUUUGAGGGAUGACACAACCAUAGAGGGGUAAGCCUCCACAAGGGAGAUCUCCAUUUUGUCUCCUUCAAGUAAUCGGGGGACACUGGGAGGCAGUAGUGAGGAAGCCAUUUUUCAUCAACCAUUUCCUCACUGCCUUCAACUCUCAUUUCUCCAUCUAAGGAAUGUGAGUCACCCAAAAUUAUAGGUAGUAUACACUAUGAAACAUGAAAGGGUAAAAGAAUCACAAAAUCAUAAAUUUAGACAUGAAAGAGUCCUUAGAAGUCUCAAGGACUAGUACAAUCUCUUCUUUCCCAUUUAUUCCUGAAUUUCAAAAAUCAAUAUAAUUCAGUGUCCUUUCUCAGCAAACUCCAGGCCUUCUUGGAUAUGAACUGCAAGAGCAAAAUAUGAGAAGUGAUGAAAAGCUGUGGUCACAGAAUCUGAGAUAAUGAGUUUGAUAACACCACCCAAGAGAAUUCAUCAGAAUCACGGCAGACCUGAGAAAGAACAUAAGAUGUGUUCAACUCCGGAAGAAUGUCACCUUGAUACUGUGUGGAAUUGCUCAUUGAGUUGAAUAAGGAUGUUACUAAAAUAUGGAAGAAAAGCUCAUUUUUGUAAUGGGAAGUGAAAGCAAACAAUCUUCUUAAGAAAAUGGAGAAGGGCUGGCCCUAAAGAAGUGUUGACUACUACUUUAAUAUGGACCACAAUUUACUACUGAUAUGAAAAUCAGCAAUUUUGGCAUCUCUGACUUGGAAACAAGACUAGUGAAGCAGUGAAUAAAAAGCAGGCCUUGGCACCAAAAAGAUGUGCUCACAUCUAUUGGCUGUAAACUGAUCAAGACAUUUAUCCUCUCCUGACUGCAUUCAAAUCUCUAAGUUUGUAAGUCUCAUAAAAUAACUAUCCUACCCUGGAACAGAGUGUUUCUCACUCCCACCCCAGUGAAAUUAGAAUUCCAGGCAAAAAAAAAAACGCUAACCAAUCCAAAACAAAACAAAACAAACAGCAACAACAACAACAACAAAAAACACUUGAAUAGGCUUUCUUACAUUUAAAAUAGAAAAAAAAAAUUACACAGAAAGUAAGAGCUAACCCAGAAGCAUAUUGAAAAUAGUCUGUUAAAUGGUUAAAGUGAGCAAUUACUCCCCCAAAUUGUCAAACAUUAAAAAGUAAGGAUCUGAUUUGUUAUUGUUUUAUUUUCUAUAAUUAAGAAAGUAAUGGAUAAAAUGUUCAUUUUCUGGGUUAAAUUUCAAUGUAUGUCACAGGUACAUUUUUUGAGAACCUGUUGUUUAUAAUCAUUCACCAGCACACACCCUAAGAGUUUGAAAAGAUCAAUGAAGGACUAAGAUUUAGGUAGUAACAGCACCAGAGGUUAAACUACUGUGAAUUUCUAUUUCCCAUAUACCUAUAGUAAUGUAAUGUUUGCAGAAUACUUUCUUUGUAGCAGCCUCCUAUCUAUGUGAGGUAAACAAUACAACUAUGUUUAUCUUCCUUUUAUAGAUGAGUGGACUGAGACGUAGAGGUUAGAGAUGAUUCAUAUGACAUAAUAUAAGUAGGCCUUUGCUCCUUUUAGUCAAGGAAAGGAAAGAAGAAAGGAAGAAAGGAAGAAAGAAAGGAAGGAAGAAAGAAAGAAAGAAAGAAAGAAAGAAAGAAAGAAAGAAAGAAAGAAAGAAAGAAAGAAAGAAAGAAAGAAAGAAAGAAAGAAACAAAGAAACAAAGAAACAAAGAAACAAAGAAACAAAGAAACAAAGAAACAAAGAAACAAAGAAGAAAGAAAGAAAAAGGAAGGAAGGAAGGAAGGAAAGAAGGAAGGAAGGA